rnacentral:tRNA from 1 species
GCCUGGGUGGCUCAGUUGGUUAAGCGUCUGACUUUGGCUCAGGUCAUGAUCUCGCGUUCGUGAGUUCGAGUCCCGCGUCGGGCU